GAUGAACGCUGGCGGCGUGCCUAAUACAUGCAAGUCGAGCGAACAGACCAGUCGCUUGCUCCUCUGACGUUAGCGGCGGACGGGUGAGUAACUCUUGGAUAACCUACCUAUGAGACUGGGAUAGCUUCGGGAAACCGGCGCUAAUACCGGAUGAUAUAUUGAACAGCAUGGUUCAAGCGUUAAAGACGGUUUUGCUGGCACUAAUAGAUUGAUACGCGCCGCAUUCGCUAGUUGGUAAGGUAACGGCUUACCAAGGCAACGAUGCAUAGCCGCCCUAAGAGGGUGAUCGGCCACACUGGAAAUGAGAAACGGUCCAGACUCCUACGGGAGGCAGCAGUAGGGAAUCCUCCGCAAUGGGCGAAAGCCUGAUGGUGCAAAGCCGCGUGAGUGCUGAAGGUCUUCGGAUCGUAAAACUCUGUUAUUAGGGAAGAACAAAUGUGUAAGUAACUGUGCAGAUCUUGACGGUACCUACUCAGAAAGCCACGGCUAACUACGUG
rnacentral:rRNA from 1 species